AUCAUGGCAAGCAGGUCCAAGCACCCCUGGGAAGCAGCUGGAUGCACGACAUUGCCAGGAUACUGUUGCUUAUCUCGCAGGCUCCUUCCCCCCUCGGGGUGACUGCGGUUGUGCUGACACAGCCGGAGCAGUGACAGCACUUUCCUGGCCUGCAGCCAUUGAUAGAGGCAGCAGCCCCUGGCUUGCUCUGCAGUGGUUCUUCCUGCGCUCCUCAAAGCAGCCGCCAACCGGGACAAUGCCCCCCGUACUGGGCCUGGGGAGCAAGAGCUGCUGGCGCUGCGUGUGCUAAAGUACUCUCAGCUGGUGGGCACGGGGUAUCUCCCUGCUGUGGGUAGUUACAGGUCACUGGCAGCCCUCUCCGGGACAGCUGUGCCCACGCAGCAGCCUCCGUGAGGCAGGCAGCACGGGAUGGUGACCAGCUCCACUAUCGCCCAUCCUUCUUUGCGGAGCAAGCAGAGGUCCGUGCUGCCUGCUCCCACCCUGUGCUGGAGCUGGGAUGUAUAGCAGGAGAAAUGUGGCCAUCUGCUUCUCAGCUGUACCCUCAGCACGCUUGCUUUAUCCCCAUCUUCCCUCCUGCAGCCCCCACCUAACCCUCAUCCCCAGCGCUCUUUUCUCCCAAUAACACACGCACCCGCUGCUGGGUUAGAGAGGAGUGUUAUUUUUGUGUCUGCUGUAGCUAAAUGCUUGUCCGGAAAGGAUCCUUGUCAGUGGGACCGGGGGAGCUGGGAUCCCAAGGGAUGGCUUUCUAGGAACGGUGUGGGACUGUGGGAUGCUGAGCCUUCGGGCGGGGGGGGAAUGAAGCAGGGAGUGUUAGCAGCGAAGCCUGAAGAGUUAAUUUUGGGAGCCUAACAACACCCCUUUCCUUCUCCCUUGGCUGCCAGGAGAACCUGUGGAGGGAGAGGCGGGGGGAAACAUCUCCCCUCUCCUGCAGGGCAGCAGUCCAGGAUGGGGUUUAGAGUGCCAGCAGCCUUCCUUCCUCCAGGCUGGCAGGUCCGUACGGAGGAGGAUGGGAGCGGGGCAGAGCUGGCUGCUAGCUUCUGGCCGCCUGCUCUUUAGGACUGUCCUCCUGCAGGUCCUCCUCGUCCGACUGCACCACGGGGGUCUCGGCCCCCUCCUCGCUGGUGUCCAAGCUGUUGGGAUCCGUGGAGACGGACGACGUGGAGGAAAUGCGUGACUUGGUCGCGGCUGCGCUGGGCACUGGUAGGGUGAUUUCCUCUGCGCACUGGCUGGCGUCCGCCCCUGGAGCAGAGGGAGCCCAGAAACACGUCCACGGUGUCCUGGUCUGACAGGUCCAUCAUGUCCAUCUGCUCCAGCAUGUCCACGUUCACCUCCAUGGAGGAAAUGCUGCCUAAGGGGGCUGCGGAGAGAGAGGCCAGCAAAAAGGUGAGACACAGGGAAGAAGAAAUCUACGUCGUGCUGGAAAACCUCCUCAAAGAACUUCUGCCGCUCCCGUAGUUUCAGCUGCUGCUGCUGCAUCUGCUCCGUGUCCAGGCUGCGCUGCCCCUGCUCCAUGUCGGCUGGGGAGGAAGGCAAGGAGGGUCAGGCCAGGCGGGGCUGUCCGAGCCCUCCUGCCCGUCCCAGCUCACAUGGCGCUGCUGUGCUGGAGCUUAGUUCAGCGCUGGUGCUUGUGUCCCUGGCUCGCACGGGAACGACAGAGCCCUUGGGCAGUUGCUGAAGGAAAGCAGAAGUGAGCCUCGUGCUGCAUCCCAGGAGCUGGUGCGUCCCUCGGGGGCUGGGUACCCACAGCAGCUCUUGGCCCAGCCGGCACAAGGAAAAUGUGAUUACUGGAGCAGGCAGUGCAGUAACCAAGGGAACCAAACAAACAUCCCCUGCUUUGCCUGAGCGCAGCCCAAACCUUCCACUCCUCCGGGCUAGGGAGGGAGCCGAGCAGCAGCCAGCGCUCAGCAUCCCCACCCUGUCUGGCAGGAGCAGGGGCGAGGGCAGCGGGGGGCUGUCAGCAACAUUCAGUGGUGUCGGACCCCAACAGGAGAGAGGCGGCGCGCCUGGGGAGAUGUCCCGGAGAUAAACGUCACAUCCCGAGAGCCCUUUCAGUGCUCUUCUGCCCUCUGCACCCCGUUCUCUGGGACAUCCUUCAGCUGAACCCCAGGCCCCUGCCUCAGGAGCUCUUUUUGGAAGUGGCCCCGCUCCUCUUUUGACUGCUCAGCGUGUUCCUGGGAUGGCCGGGGCAGCAGCCCUGGCCGCCUGAAGGGCCCUUUGCUUUGGCACGUCUGACCUGAGCACUGGGCACCCGCAGAGGCUUGCGGUGCCGAGCAGAACCUGGGCUGAGAGCUGUGGUGGCAAAAGCACAGUCCAGGUUAAGCUUUGCUUAACCAGCAGCUGACGGGUGCUGCUGCCCCUCAGCACGGAGCGCAGGGGAGGUUUUUGCCUUGCCACCUGCAGCAGGGCUCGGCCAGGGACAAGGAGGGGCUGCACUGGGACAGGGACGGAGGUGACCAGGGCACUAAUUACAGAGCUGCUGCUUUGCUGCUGCUGGAGCCAGCCCUGUCCUGUCUCCCCCAGGCAAAGCUCUGCCCCCCAGCCCAGCUGUGCCAAAUCUGUGGCAAACAGCCCAGGGUUCAUCAUGCUCCUCAGGGCUGAGGAGAGCUCAUCGGGCUGGGCUCAGAGUGCAGACUGUGCCAGCUUUUUAUCAGAAGGAGGACGUGACCCCCUCGCCUGCCCGCCUUGUCUCAUUUCAGGCUCCCAGAUUUGGGGGGGAUGGACCAGCUCUCUCUGUGCAGCAUCUUCCCAAAGGCGCCCUGAUUUCAGGGUAAGGUGGAGAGUCUCCAAAUCCUGCAGUGCAAAUGCAAAAUAAACCAAAAUGCUGGC